UUUUUGCUCCAGCAGUAGGGAGUCAUGUGACAAAUCUGAAUAAUGGAGUUAGGUGGACAAAAGCCUAAGGUGAAUUUCGUAAGGUUAUCAAAAACGUUCAGGAGGAUGGAUGGCAUGGUACAUGUGUCAGACCCAUAGAACGUGCAACCCCAGAGUGAGCUGUAAUGGAAACGAUAGACUCCGGGUGAUGGUGAUGGGUCUGUGCAGGUUCACGGACUGUAACAAAUGCACCACUCUGGGCCGGGCCCGGUGGCUCACGCCUGUAAUCCCAACACUUUGGGAGGCCGAGUUGGGCAGAUCACCUGAGGACAGGAGUCCGAGACCAGCUUGGCUAACAUGGCAAAACCCCGUCGCUACUAAAAACGGUCGUGAUAGCAGGCGCCUGUAAUCCCAGCUACUCUGGAGACUGAGGCAGGAGAAUCGCUUGAACCCGAGAGGUGGGAGCUGAGAUCACCCACUGCACUCCAGCCUGG
rnacentral:lncRNA from 10 species